UUACAUUUUUUCACUUUCACUUUCAUCUAGGGCUUGAGAAUCAAAAAAACCGCAGGCAUCUGUGCAGUCAACGAAGGACCGAUCUGCACGCCGGCGAAGAAGGACCGAUCUGCACGCCGGCGCCGAUCUGUGUUCUCCGACGGCGGUUUCGUCGAUCUGUGCAAGGGCUGUGCAAGGAGGCGGCGGCGGAGGAAUUCCGAUUAAUCCAGGAGGCGGCGGCGUUGAGGAGGCGGCGGCGGCUGAGGCGUCCGAGUAUUCCAAUUAGGAGGCGGCGAAACCUUUUGGGCGUUUCGAAAUUGAGGGUUUAAGAAAAAGGGGGCGUCCGCUCGUCGAUCCGAUCUUCUGUGCAAGCAACGUUCCCUCGAUCUGAAAAAGGGGGCGACUUGGGUGAGAGAGUUUUGGGCAGCGGUGUUCAAACCAGACGUCAGCGAUUGCGGGAGUUUUGGGCUGCGUCGUUUCUGUGCAAGCAACGAUCCAUCGAUCUGAAAAAGGGGGCGAAUUUUGGAGUUUUGGGCGGUGUCCUGUGCAAGGCGACGGUGGUCUGUGCAAGGUGGCGCCGGUGGAGCGAUUUGCUGAAGGCAGCGGCGAAGGCGUUUGUUUCUCGAAGUAACUGGCAUGUCUUUAACAUCCGACGACGGAGGCGUGGGUAUCAAAUCCGGGGAGGGAAGAUAAACUGAAUUACUUUCAAUUUCUGUGUGAUUCGAUAUUGUUGCACAAUGAAUAUUUUAAGUGCAUAGUUGAGAGUAAAAGGUAAAAAGCCACAAUGCAGGAGCGUCCGCUUCAAUAUAUAUAUAUAUAUAGAGAGAGAGAGAGAGAGAGAGAAAUUAAACAAAUAAGUGUUGCAAUCUCAGUUUUUACUUUUUUUUUUCUGGUUAGAUUUCUCAUUUCAUGGACUUAUUCGAAUAUUAGUUGGACCUUGAUUCUUGAAUGCUUUUGCAUUUGUAAUAUUUUAUAGCUGUUUGUGUAUGCAUUGUCC